rnacentral:lncRNA from 1 species
UGAGUAUAAUCAGAAAAUGAAGAGGCUGGCAAAGGGCCACAAAAACAGAGAAGAGGCAUGCCGAAAGCAUAUUCAUGGUAAUGUAAAAAGAAAUCAGUUAGUAAGCUCGACAAAACAAAUGGCAGUCUAUAACACCAUUACAUAGGGCAAAGGGACAAUAGUUUUCCAGCAUUGUUCAGUGAUGCAGGGAUAAGGGGAACAUGACAAUAAUAUACAUACAUUCAUAGGCAAAGGUAGACCACCCAAAUAAGGGGAACAUGACAAAGAUGAGACGAUCAACAAACGAACUAACACAACAUCACACAAACCAAACACUACAGAGAAGUCCUCAGCUUGAUCAACCAACCAUUGCAUAAAGAAAAUAUAAAAGGAUGACAACUAAAGAAAAUAGAAGAAUAUAAGCUUAACUGGCGAACAAAUAGCUUCUGCACUCACUGCAUAUAGCUAAUUAGCUAUACUAUUAAGUACUAAAAUAAAGAAUAGUCUGUUUGCCUGAAAGCUAUUUUUUAUAUCCAUCGCAUCAAAUCGAUUUAGGAUUUAACUCCACAACAACCGAAAGUAUCAGUGUGCGCACAUUUCAGUUAUGUUUCCUAAUAGGCAGUAGGUUUUAGAAGUAUCAUAAGAAACCAAAGAAUGAACUUGCCUGCCUCACCUAUCAUCUGGAGAUUAAUAGAAGGCCAAACCAACGCUGCCAAGCAUUUUUAGAAUUGGAUCCCAAACAAAUGGGAAAUGAUGCCUAGAAUGAAAAGGCUGCACAAGGCACACAAGAAUAAUCUAAAUCGGGGUAAUUAAAAAAAUGGAAUAUUACCAAGCCUACUACGAAGCAGGAUGCUCAACAACUCAUAUCUUUUGAGGAACAUUUUUACACAUCAAAAAUUCAGAAGCGUACAAAUAGAGCCAAUAAAUAUGGAUACUGUAUUCUGAAUCACCCAAAAUUAGCUGAGCUAUUCACACCCAAAAGUAGGCAAAGAAAGGUAUAUUUCUGUAGUUAGACUUAUAGUUGCAUAAGCACCCUUGCAUGCGGUACGAUGUCAUCAUGACCGAAUCUAUGAAACUGAAAAUACAUUGUUGUGUACUAAUUUUGGCUCCUCGGAAGCUAGUACAAAAGAAGAGGAUCCAAUUGGAUAUUGUUCUUAUCUUCCUAGAAAAGAAAGGUAAAAAACUGAUUCAGUGCUGAUUCCAGGUAGGCAAAUAAUCUAUUCACCUUGAUUAACCCACGAGUUUAUAUACUUAUUCCUCGAUUUUAUCUUGUCUAGUAGGUUUGCAAUAGAUGCUGGGAUAGGUUACUCAAUCUGAGGUAAUGGAGUAGAUCAAACGACUGGGCCACUCAAAUGUGAUUUUCAUCAGUUAGUCAUCACGGAACUGGCAUACUUCUUCCCUCGAUUUUCUUCUGUCGAGUAGGUUCUUUAUUAGAGAUGGAAUCAGAAGGGGAGAUGUUAUAUCCUCAAUAUGCAAAUUCAAGCUAAACAGUCAGAAGCAACAAACUGAAUGUCCUAGCAAAACAACAAACUGUACUACAAGAGUCUGAAGAAUUUCUCGGCUGCACCAUUACUAAUGAAGUUAACAUCCACCCGCCAAAUGAUAUUUGAUCUAGGGGUAGGAUAAAGAGAAUUAAGGGGCAUAAUGAGAAAGGAUGCAGAAUAGGUAACAACAAUAAGGCGAAGGUGUCGCAGCUAUGCGAGAUUCUAUCUGUUUGUUCGCGUUUAAAAACAGUUUUUUUAUCUGUCUCACUUCAUGAACUGAUAAUUGGAUAUUGACUCUAACUGCAAUAUUUUUUUGUUUGUGUGAAUGACAUAGUUAAUAUUCAUUCAUCAUUAUGUACAAUUUUGUUGCAACUGAAAUAUAUGUAUUUCUACCUAUCGGAAUGCUUAGACUUUCCUGUCUACAUAUAUAUCACAAAAUAACAAGUUAGAUGCUUGCAGAAAACACAUAAAUUACCAGAUAUCUUGUAACGCAGUAUAAAAUACCUUGUGGUUCUGGGCAAUAUUGACCCUCUUCUUAAUAGCCCCA